rnacentral:rRNA from 1 species
AUGGAGGAGAUGAUGAAAAAAAUGGGAUUUGCGAUGACUUGGGUGAAAUUAGUAAUGAGAUAUUCUACUUGUAUGAGAUACAAAUUCCAGUUCAAUGACACACUUACUGAGGAAAUUGUAGCAGGGAGUGGUUUAAGGCAAGGAGAUCCCAUCCCUCCGUAUCUGUUUCUUUUUUGUGCUGAAGCCUUCUCAAGUCUACUGGAUUGUGUUGAGCAAGGAGGGAUUAUGGAAGGAGUAAAAGUGUGUCGAGAGGCGCCGAGUUUUAAUCAUCUAUUGUUUGUGAUUCUUCUGAAAGCCUCAGAAGAUAGUGCGCUUCACCUGCAAAAUAUAAUGAAGUUAUAUGAUGAGAGCUCGGGGAAAACAGUUAAUGUUGACAAGUCAACAAUAAUGUUCAGCAAAAAUGCAAAGUUAGGAGUGCAUACGAAAAUGAUGGACCGGUUGGGACUGACUAGAGAGACUUGGAAUGAGCGAUACCUCAGUCUUCCGGCUUAUGUGGUGCAAUCAAUGACUAAGGUGUUUGCUUAUCUCAAGGAUAGGAUAUGGAAGUCCAUCCAAGGUUGGAAGGAAAAAGUGCUUACCAAAGCAGGCAAGGAGAUCCUGGUUAAACUAGUGCGGUUGAUCUUCUGGGCGCUGGAUGCGGCACUCAUCCUUGCAUUGCCCAUUAAGGAAGACGCGGAGGAUGCUUGGGCAUGGCACCCCGAUCACCGAGGCUGA